rnacentral:rRNA from 1 species
UACGGGGGGGGCAAGCGUUGUUCGGAAUUACUGGGCGUAAAGGGCUCGUAGGUGGCCCUCUAAGUCAGACGUGAAAUCCCUCGGCUUAACCGGGGAACUGCGUCUGAUACUGGAGGGCUUGAGUUUGGGAGAGGGAUGCGGAAUUCCAGGUGUAGCGGUGAAAUGCGUAGAUAUGCGGAGGAACACCGAUGGCGAAGGCAAUCCCCUGGGCCUGCACUGACGCUCAUGCACGAAAGCGUGGGGAGCAAACAGG